GCCGGGCGCGGUGGCUCACACCUGUAAUCCCAGCACUUUGGGAGGCUGAGGCAGGAGGAUUACUUGAGCCCAGGAGUUCAACACUAGCCUGGGCAAUAUAGUGGGACCCUGUCUCUA
rfam:Pan troglodytes isolate Yerkes chimp pedigree #C0471 (Clint) chromosome 7, whole genome shotgun sequence.